rnacentral:lncRNA from 1 species
ACUCCACAGACCCCAUAGACCCCACAGAACACACCCACAGACCCCACGACGCCCACAGACUCCCACAGACCCCAUAGACCACAUCCCAGUAGACCCCAUAGACCCCAUAGACCCCAUAGACCCCACAGACCCCAUAGACACAUCCCAUAGACCCCAUAGACCCAUAGACACAUCCCAUAGACCCCAUAGACCCCAUAGACCCCAUAGACCCCAUAGACCCCAUGACCCCACAGACCCCAAUAGAACCCCAUAGCCCCUAUAGCCCCCAUACCCCAAUAGCCCACAUAGACCGCCAUAGACCCCACAGACCGCCAAUAGACCCUAUAGACCGCCCAUAGACCCAUAGACCCCGAUAGACCCCAUAGACCCCAUAGACAACUAAUAGAUCCCUAUAGACCCAAAUGACCCCCCAUAGACCCCCACAGACCCCAUAGACCCCACAGACCCUAUAGACCCCAUAGACCCUAUAGCCCCUAUAGCCCCUAUAGACCCCGUACCCUGCUGACUAGGGACAGGGUCUUGCUGUCCUCCUGGUAUCUGAGCAGGGAGAUGCUCUUCAUCACGUCGGCCGCCAGGAUGAAGUUCUUGACACUGCGGGUAAUGGGGUCAAUAUGGGGUUAUGGGGUCCAUUAUAGGGUUAGUUAUGGGGUUAUGGGGUUAUAGGGUUAGUUAUGGGGUUAUGGGGGUUAAUGGGGGUUAUGGGGUUUAUGGGGUUAUAGGGUUAGUUUAUGGGGUUAUGGGGUUAUGGGGUUAGUUUGGGGUUUAUGGGGUUUAUGGGUUAUAGGGUAGUUCUGGGGUUAUGGGGUUUUAUACGGGUUAGUUAUGGGGUUAAUGGGUUAUGGGGUUAGUUAUGGGGUUAUGGGGUUAUAGGGUUAGUUAUGGGGUUAUGGGGUUAUAGGGUUAGUUAUGGGGUUAUGGGGUUAUAGGGUUAGUUAUGGGGUUAUGGGGUUAUAGGGUUAAGUUAUGGGGGUUAUGGGGUUAUAGGGUUAGUCUUGGGGUUAUGGGUUAUAGGUUAGUUAUGGGGUUAUGGGGUUUAGUUAUGGGGUUAUGGUUAUGGGUUAAGGGUUAGUUAUGGGUUUAUGGGGGUUAUCGGGUUAGUUAUGGGGUUAUGGGGUUAUACGGGUCUAGUUAUGGGGGUUAUGGGGUUAUAGGUUUAGUUAUGGGUUAUGGGGUUAUAGGUUGAGUUAUGGGGUAAUGGGUUAUAGGUUAGUUAGGGUUAUGGGGUUAUAGGUUAGUUAUGGGUUAUGGGGUUAUAGGUUAGUUAUGGGGUUAU